rnacentral:rRNA from 1 species
AGUCGAACGGUAACAGGUUAGCUGACGAGUGGCGAACGGGUGAGUAAUGUAUCGGAACGUGCCCAGUCGUGGGGGAUAACUGCUCGAAAGAGCAGCUAAUACCGCAUACGACCUGAGGGUGAAAGCGGGGGAUCGCAAGACCUCGCGCGAUUGGAGCGGCCGAUAUCAGAUUAGCUAGUUGGUGGGGUAAAGGCCCACCAAGGCGACGAUCUGUAGCUGGUCUGAGAGGACGACCAGCCACACUGGGACUGAGACACGGCCCAGACUCCUACGGGAGGCAGCAGUGGGGAAUUUUGGACAAUGGGCGCAAGCCUGAUCCAGCCAUGCCGCGUGCGGGAAGAAGGCCUUCGGGUUGUAAACCGCUUUUGUCAGGGAAGAAAAGGGUGUUUUUAAUAAAGACGCCUCAUGACGGUACCUGAAGAAUAAGCACCGGCUAACUACGUGCCAGCAKCCGCGGUAAUACGUAGGGUGCAAGCGUUAAUCGGAAUUACUGGGCGUARAGCGUGCGCASGCGGUGAUGCAAGACAGAGGUGAAAUCCCCGGGCUCAACCUGGGAACUGCCUUUGUGACUGCAUGACUAGAGUACGGUAGAGGGGGAUGGAAUUCCGCGUGUARCAGUGAWAUGCGUAGAUAUGCGGAGGAACACCGAUGGCGAANGCWAUCCCCUGGACCUGUACUGACGCUCAUGCACGAAAGCGUGGGGAGCAAACANGAUUAGAUACCCUGGUAGUCCACGCCC